rnacentral:rRNA from 1 species
GAUGAACGCUAGCGGGAGGCCUAACACAUGCAAGCCGAGCGGUAUUGUUUCUUCGGACAUGAGAGAGCGGCGUACGGGUGCGUAACACGUGUGCAACCUGCCUUUAUCUGGGGGAUAGCCUUUCGAAAGGAAGAUUAAUACUCCAUAAUAUAUUGAACGGCAUCGUUUAAUAUUGAAAGCUCCGGCGGAUAGGGAUGGGCACGCGCAAGAUUAGCUAGUUGGUGAGGUAACGGCUCACCAAGGCGAUGAUCUUUAGGGGGCCUGAGAGGGUGAUCCCCCACACUGGUACUGAGACACGGACCAGACUCCUACGGGAGGCAGCAGUGAGGAAUAUUGGUCAAUGGGUGCAAGCCUGAACCAGCCAUCCCGCGUGAAGGACGACUGCCCUAUGGGUUGUAAACUUCUUUUGUAUAGGGAUAAACCUACCCUCGAGAGGGUAGCUGAAGGUACUAUACGAAUAAGCACCGGCUAACUCCGUG